UGCCAGGAAACAAACUAGAUAUUUUUUUUAAAAUAUAUAGCAAGAGAAAAAAGAAAAUAAAUCAAAAUAACAAGGUAUUCAAUCAAGUCCACCUCUUCAACUACCUCCUCCCCUUGGCUCAGUCCUCGGUGGCAUAAUAUGCAAUCAUAACCGAAUGCAAUUAAGAAUUCAUCAACUUUAACCCUAAAGAUCAAUUCUUUCCUUUGGUUUCAAAAUUUGAAUACCAAUUCUCAAAAUCCUGGGCCCACCCCGUUGGUGAGUAUGUAAGUGACACUGCA
rnacentral:lncRNA from 1 species